rnacentral:rRNA from 1 species
GACGAACCGUACGAACGUUAUUCGGAAUCACUGGGCUUAAAGGGUGCGUAGGCGGUGCGGAAAGUUGGGUGUGAAAUCCCUCGGCUCAACCGAGGAACUGCGCUCAAAACUACCGUGCUCGAGGGAGACAGAGGUGAGCGGAACUUAGGGUGGAGCGGUGAAAUGCGUUGAUAUCCUAAGGAACACCGGUGGCGAAGGCGGCUCACUGGGUCUCUUCUGACGCUGAGGCACGAAAGCUAGGGUAGCGAACGGG